GAGUUUGAUCCUGGCUCAGAUUGAACGCUGGCGGUAUGCUUAACACAUGCAAGUCGAACGGAAACGAUACUAGCUUGCUAGUAGGCGUCGAGUGGCGGACGGGUGAGUAACGCGUAGGAAUCUGCCUGAUAGUGGGGGAUAGCCCGAAGAAAUUCGGAUUAAUACCGCAUAAUCUAUUCGUAGUAAAGUGGGGGACUUUCGAGCCUCACGCUAUCAGAUGAGCCUGCGUAAGAUUAGCUUGUUGGUAGGGUAAAAGCCUACCAAGGCGACGAUCUUUAGCUGGUCUGAGAGGAUGAUCAGCCACAUCGGGACUGAGACACGGCCCGAACUCCUACGGGAGGCAGCAGUGGGGAAUAUUGGACAAUGGGGGCAACCCUGAUCCAGCAAUACCGCGUGUGUGAAGAAGGCCUGAGGGUUGUAAAGCACUUUCAAUUGUGAAGAAAAGUUAGCGGUUAAUAACCGUUAGCCUUGACGUAAACUUUAGAAGAAGCACCGGCUAACUCCGUGCCAGCAGCCGCGGUAAUACGGAGGGUGCAAGCGUUAAUCGGAAUUACUGGGCGUAAAGCGUGCGUAGGCGGUUUAUUAAGUCAGAUGUGAAAGCCCCGGGCUUAACCUGGGAACUGCGUCUGAAACUGGUCAACUAGAGUAUGGUAGAGGAAAGUGGAAUUUCUGGUGUAGCGGUGAAAUGCGUAGAUAUCAGAAGGAACAUCAAUGGCGAAGGCAGCUUUCUGGACCAAUACUGACGCUGAGGUACGAAAGCGUGGGUAGCAAACAGGAUUAGAUACCCUGGUAGUCCACGCCGUAAACGAUGAUAACUAGCCGUUGGGGGGAUUUACCCUUUAGUGGCGAAGCUAACGCGUUAAGUUAUCCGCCUGGGGAGUACGGCCGCAAGGUUAAAACUCAAAGGAAUUGACGGGGACCCGCACAAGCGGUGGAGCAUGUGGUUUAAUUCGAUGCAACGCGAAGAACCUUACCUGGUCUUGACAUCCUGCGAACUUUCUAGAAAUAGAUUGGUGCCUUCGGGAACGCAGUGACAGGUGCUGCAUGGCUGUCGUCAGCUCGUGUCGUGAGAUGUUGGGUUAAGUCCCGUAACGAGCGCAACCCCUAUCCUUAUUUGCCAGCACAUCAUGGUGGGAACUAUAAGGAGACUGCCGGUGAUAAACCGGAGGAAGGCGGGGACGACGUCAAGUCAUCAUGGCCCUUACGACCAGGGCUACACACGUGCUACAAUGGGAAGGACAAAGAGCCGCGAAGCCGCGAGGUGUAGCUAAUCUCAUAAACCUUUUCGUAGUCCGGAUUGGAGUCUGCAACUCGACUCCAUGAAGUCGGAAUCGCUAGUAAUCGUAGAUCAGAAUGCUACGGUGAAUACGUUCCCGGGCCUUGUACACACCGCCCGUC
rnacentral:rRNA from 1 species